CAGGAAAGAAGUUUCAAGCAGAGGAAGCAGGAUGGGAAGAAGCCUGCUCUCUGUCCCUAACUGCUAUUUAUCAAGUAUUGUGAAGUGCACAGAAAACAUUAGAAGCAAGCGUUCAUUUCCCCCUAACUACAGCAGCAUACAGCUCCCUGAGCCACAGUCAGACUCCCUCUUGCUUGUUCUCCUUCCAUCCCUGUGGCUUAGCCUCAACAGGAAGGGGUUCUUAGCCCUGCCUGCCCUGAGGGUUAAGUAUCUCUCUUCCGGUGUGAGCAUCAGGAUCCAAAUCCCACUAGGGGGAAGCAAACCUUGACCCUGGGUCUUCUAUGUUCCUCCUGUCUGAAUUAGCACUCUAACCACUAGGCUGCUGAGCAAAAGGAUACACACCCCAUGACUUUUGGUCAGCUACAGUUUCUAUGAUUUACAGAGCACUUCUGGGCAUCCAGAGCAGACCUGAAUUGACAUGGAGCAAAGAUGGACUGGGAUACAUUUGACACAGCACUGAUUCCCUUUGAGCAUGCACAGCAGGGACAGACUGAAUCAGAUAGGGGGAAACAGCACCUGCAAAUUAGGCUGUUAUGCAAGGUAAAGUACAAUGUUAAUGGGAAGCAGGGAUAUUUAAGAACUGCACAAGUGAUGCUCCUAAAUUUUAGUCAGUGAAACAGACUUCUGCCCUCAGUAUCUCUGACUGUUGUUUUACAUCAUAGAUCUGCAUGGUAUUAUUUUCAUGAAAUUGGUGGGACCUCACAGGACCCCAAAUCAUAUUCAUUUGUUGUUGCUGCUGCUGCUGCUUUGCUUUCUCUGCUGUUUCCCAUCUGUUUUAAGACCCAGUGACUCUGGCAUUUGGUUUUCUGUUGAACAAAAUGUCAGCAGAUGACAACUCAUGCUCCAUUAAUGCUGUUCUGUAAUUUAACAGUGAUCCAUAAGGAUCAGAGCCACACUGUGGACCUUUUUAAUGCAAACUUACUUACAUCUAUAUAAUUUUUUUACCAGCUUUAGGUCAGUCAUAAACUUCUCCUUUUUUGUACACUGUUUUAAAACCGCAUUUUCCACCUAUUUCUUUUUCACAUAAGUGGCAGUUCCAUUGCUAACCUUCUCUGUCUGAGUGAACUGAAAACUAUUGAAAACAUCAGGUACUUCAGAAGCACUUCUUCAGAGGGCUACUUUUGGACUGUCUUCAUGCUUGUGGGCUCCCACUUCUUGCAGAUACAAAGUAAAAAGCCGUUUAAACCCUCCCCGGCUGACCUGCAUGUUUCCACAGACUUUCAAUGCUGGUGGGACUUCUAACUGAUCCUUUUUUCCACUUUGGGCAUUUUCCUAAUUCAUUUUACUACCUUGUCUUUGCUACAUAGCCUGUGUUCAAAAAAUCUCUCAGAACCAGAGUCUGAAAAGAAAGGUCUGCUUUAUCUCGUAUCUGAGUUUUAAUGCAUCAGCAUUAUGUCAUCAUAUGCCUCUGAGCAACACGACAACCAGUUCCAACUAGCUCUUGCAAGUAAUUCUCAAAGGAAGAAUUCCCCACACCAUGGAGUCCAGGGAUUGAAAAGAAACUGCCACAGAACUUCCCUGAGGAAGUCUGUGCUCAAAAGAAAUCCUGCAUAGUCAUGGGUGCAUCCAGGAUUUUGUAAAGUAGGGUGCAGGAACAUUGCAUGGGUGGCUGCACAUCUGCUCCCAGCUUCCACCCACCACCGGUGGGGCAGACCCUGCAGCAGAAGCAGGAGUGCAGGACUAAGUCCCCAGUCAGACUAGGCAAUGCUGACCCUUCCCCACUCCAGCUGGACUGCAUAGGAAGCCAGAAUCAGCGGAGGAUAGCCACAGCAGUGUUAGCAGUUCCUAAUCUAUGCCCGAUGGGUCCAUGAACUGAGAUUAUGCUACUCAAGCUUCAGAUGACACAUCUACCUGGAGUCUAACAAACUGGACUUAAUAAAAUCUUUGACUUAUUUUAUUUUCUUUUGUUAGCACAAUAAAUACAUUGGUUGCAAUU